UUGUCGGAAUUAUUGGGCGUAAGAGCUCGUAGGCGGCUUGUCGCGUCUGCUGUGAAAACCAGAGGCUCAACCUCUGGCCUGCAGUGGGUACGGGCAAGCUAGAGUGCGGUAGGGGAGAUUGGAAUUCCUGGUGUAGCGGUGGAAUGCGCAGAUAUCAGGAGGAACACCGAUGGCGAAGGCGAGAUCUCUGGGCCGUAACUGACGCUGAGGAGCGAGGGCAUGGGGAGCGAACAGGAUUAGAUACCCUGGUAGUCCAUGCCGUAAACGUUGGGAACUAGAUGUUGGGCCUGUUCCACGGGUUCUGUGUCGUAGCUAACGCAUUAAGUUCCCCGCCUGGGGAGUACGGCCGCAAGGCUAAAACUCAAAGGAAUUGACGGGGGCCCGCACAGGCGGCGGAGCAUGCGGAUUAAUUCGAUGCAACGCGAAGAACCUCGCCAAGGCUUGACAUAUACGAGAACACUGUGCAGAUACAGGACUCUUUGGACACUCGUAAACAGGUGGUGCAUGGUUGUCGUCAGCUCGUGUCGUGAGAUGUUCGGUUAAGUCCGGCAACGAGCGCAACCCUCGUCCUAUGUUGCCAGCACGUGAUGGUGGGAACUCAUGGGAUACAACCGUGGUCAACACGGAGGAAGGUGGGGAUGACGUCAAAUCAUCAUGCCCCUUAUGUCUUAAGCUUCACGCAUGCUACAAUGGCCGAUACAAAGGGUUGCGAUACCGUGAGGUGGAGCGAAUCCCAAAAAGUCGGUCUCAGUUCGGAUUGGGGUCUGCAACUCGACCCCAUGAAGUCGGAGUCGCUAGUAAUCGCAGAUCAGCAACGCUGCGGUGAAUACGUUCCCGGGCCUUGUACACACCGCCCGUCAAGUCAUGAAAGUCGGUAACACCCGAAGCCGGUGGCCUA
rnacentral:rRNA from 1 species